AAAGAGGAGUGGCGAACGGGUGAGUAACACGUGGGUAACCUGCCCAUCAGAAGGGGAUAACACUUGGAAACAGGUGCUAAUACCGUAUAACAAUCGAAACCGCAUGGUUUUGAUUUGAAAGGCGCUUUCGGGUGUCGCUGAUGGAUGGACCCGCGGUGCAUUAGCUAGUUGGUGAGGUAACGGCUCACCAAGGCCACGAUGCAUAGCCGACCUGAGAGGGUGAUCGGCCACAUUGGGACUGAGACACGGCCCAAACUCCUACGGGAGGCAGCAGUAGGGAAUCUUCGGCAAUGGACGAAAGUCUGACCGAGCAACGCCGCGUGAGUGAAGAAGGUUUUCGGAUCGUAAAACUCUGUUGUUAGAGAAGAACAAGGAUGAGAGUAACUGUUCAUCCCUUGACGGUAUCUAACCAGAAAGCCACGGCUAACUACGUGCCAGCAGCCGCGGUAAUACGUAGGUGGCAAGCGUUGUCCGGAUUUAUUGGGCGUAAAGCGAGCGCAGGCGGUUUCUUAAGUCUGAUGUGAAAGCCCCCGGCUCAACCGGGGAGGGUCAUUGGAAACUGGGAGACUUGAGUGCAGAAGAGGAGAGUGGAAUUCCAUGUGUAGCGGUGAAAUGCGUAGAUAUAUGGAGGAACACCAGUGGCGAAGG
rnacentral:rRNA from 1 species